rnacentral:rRNA from 1 species
GACGAACGCUGGCGGCGUGCUUAACACAUGCAAGUCGAACGGGAAGGCCCUGCUUUUGUGGGGUGCUCGAGUGGCGAACGGGUGAGUAACACGUGAGUAACCUGCCCUUGACUUUGGGAUAACUUCAGGAAACUGGGGCUAAUACCGGAUAGGAGCUCCUGCUGCAUGGUGGGGGUUGGAAAGUUUCGGCGGGUGGGGAUGGACUCGCGGCUUAUCAGCUUGUUGGUGGGGUAGUGGCUUACCAAGGCUUUGACGGGUAGCCGGCCUGAGAGGGUGACCGGCCACAUUGGGACUGAGAUACGGCCCAGACUCCUACGGGAGGCAGCAGUGGGGAAUAUUGCACAAUGGGCGGAAGCCUGAUGCAGCAACGCCGCGUGCGGGAUGACGGCCUUCGGGUUGUAAACCGCUUUCGCCUGUGACGAAGCGUGAGUGACGGUAAUGGGUAAAGAAGCACCGGCUAACUACGUG